rnacentral:rRNA from 1 species
AGCUACAGGCUUAACACAUGCAAGUCGAGGGGCAGCAUGGUCUUAGCUUGCUAAGGCCGAUGGCGACCGGCGCACGGGUGAGUAACGCGUAUCCAACCUGCCUUACACUCUUGGACAGCCUUCUGAAAGGGAGAUUAAUACAAGAUGUUAUCAUGAGUAAGCAUUUUCGCAUGAUUAAAGGUUUACCGGUGUAAGAUGGGGAUGCGUUCCAUUAGAUAGUAGGCGGGGUAACGGCCCACCUAGUCUUCGAUGGAUAGGGGUUCUGAGAGGAAGGUCCCCCACAUUGGAACUGAGACACGGUCCAAACUCCUACGGGAGGCAGCAGUGAGGAAUAUUGGUCAAUGGACGAGAGUCUGAACCAGCCAAGUAGCGUGAAGGAUGAAGGUUCUAUGGAUUGUAAACUUCUUUUAUACGGGAAUAAACGAAUCCACGUGUGGAUUUUUGCAUGUACCGUAUGAAUAAGGAUCGGCUAACUCCGUGCCAGCAGCCGCGGUAAUACGGAGGAUCCGAGCGUUAUCCGGAUUUAUUGGGUUUAAAGGGAGCGUAGAUGGGUUGUUAAGUCAGUUGUGAAAGUUUGCGGCUCAACCGUAAAAUUGCAAUUGAUACUGGCAGUCUUGAGUACAGUUGAGGUAGGCGGAAUUCGUGGUGUAGCGGUGAAAUGCUUAGAUAUCACGAAGAACUCCGAUUGCGAAGGCAGCUUACUAACCUGUAACUGACAUUGAUGCUCGAAAGUGUGGGUAUCAAACAGGAUUAGAUACCCUGGUAGUCCACACGGUAAACGAUGAAUACUCGCUGUAGGCGAUAUACAGUCUGCGGCCAAGCGAAAGCAUUAAGUAUUCCACCUGGGGAGUACGCCGGCAACGGUGAAACUCAAAGGAAUUGACGGGGGCCCGCACAAGCGGAGGAACAUGUGGUUUAAUUCGAUGAUACGCGAGGAACCUUACCCGGGCUUAAAUUGCAACCGAAUAUGGCGGAAACGCUAUAGCUAGCAAUAGCGGUUGUGAAGGUGCUGCAUGGUUGUCGUCAGCUCGUGCCGUGAGGUGUCGGCUUAAGUGCCAUAACGAGCGCAACCCUUGCCGAUAGUUACUAACAGGUCAUGCUGAGGACUCUGUCGGGACUGCCAUCGUAAGAUGUGAGGAAGGUGGGGAUGACGUCAAAUCAGCACGGCCCUUACGUCCGGGGCUACACACGUGUUACAAUGGGGGGUACAGAGGGCUGCUACCACGCAAGUGGAUGCCAAUCCCAAAAACCUCUCUCAGUUCGGAUUGAAGUCUGCAACCCGACUUCAUGAAGCUGGAUUCGCUAGUAAUCGCGCAUCAGCCACGGCGCGGUGAAUACGUUCCCGGGCCUUGUACACACCGCCCGUCAAGCCAUGGGAGCCGGGGGUACCUGAAGUGCGUAACCGCAAGGAGCGCCCUAGGGUAAAACUGGUGACUGGGGCUAAGUCAUAACA